GGUCUUAUAUUCAAAAAUUAAUGAUAUAAAAUUGCAAAUUUUAAGUUACAAAAUAAAUUGUUAAGGCUU
rnacentral:tRNA from 1 species